GACGAACGCUGGCGGCGUGCUUAACACAUGCAAGUCGAACGGAAAGGCCCUGCUUGCAGGGUACUCGAGUGGCGAACGGGUGAGUAACACGUGGGUGAUCUGCCUCGUACUUCGGGAUAAGCUUGGGAAACUGGGUCUAAUACCGGAUAUAACCUUCCUUUAGUGUGGGGGGUGGAAAGUUUUUUCGGUACGAGAUGAGCCCGCGGCCUAUCAGCUUGUUGGUGGGGUAAUGGCCUACCAAGGCGUCGACGGGUAGCCGGCCUGAGAGGGUGGACGGCCACAUUGGGACUGAGAUACGGCCCAGACUCCUACGGGAGGCAGCAGUGGGGAAUAUUGCACAAUGGGCGCAAGCCUGAUGCAGCGACGCCGCGUGGGGGAUGACGGCCUUCGGGUUGUAAACCUCUUUCGCUAGGGACGAAGCCAUCCUUUGGGGGUGGUGACGGUACCUGGAUAAGAAGCACCGGCUAACUACGUG
rnacentral:rRNA from 1 species